CAAGUCGACGGCAGCACGGGAGCAAUCCUGGUGGCGAGUGGCGAACGGGUGAGUAAUAUAUCGGAACGUGCCCAGUCGUGGGGGAUAACGCAGCGAAAGCUGUGCUAAUACCGCAUACGAUCUACGGAUGAAAGCGGGGGAUCGCAAGACCUCGCGCGAUUGGAGCGGCCGAUAUCAGAUUAGCUAGUUGGUGGGGUAAAAGCCCACCAAGGCGACGAUCUGUAGCUGGUCUGAGAGGACGACCAGCCACACUGGAACUGAGACACGGUCCAGACUCCUACGGGAGGCAGCAGUGGGGAAUUUUGGACAAUGGGCGCAAGCCUGAUCCAGCAAUGCCGCGUGCAGGAUGAAGGCCUUCGGGUUGUAAACUGCUUUUGUACGGAACGAAACGGUCCUUUCUAAUAUAAGGGGCUAAUGACGGUACCGUAAGAAUAAGCACCGGCUAACUACGUGCCAGCAGCCGCGGUAAUACGUAGGGUGCGAGCGUUAAUCGGAAUUACUGGGCGUAAAGCGUGCGCAGGCGGUUAUAUAAGACAGAUGUGAAAUCCCCGGGCUCAACCUGGGACCUGCAUUUGUGACUGUAUAGCUAGAGUACGGUAGAGGGGGAUGGAAUUCCGCGUGUAGCAGUGAAAUGCGUAGAUAUGCGGAGGAACACCGAUGGCGAAGGCAAUCCCCUGCACCUGUACUGACGCUCAUGCACGAAAGCGUGGGGAGCAAACAGGAUUAGAUACCCUGUAGUCCGCGCCCUAAACGAUGUCAACUGGUUGUUGGGUCUUCACUGACUCAGUAACGAAGCUAACGCGUGAAGUUGACCGCCUGGGAGUACGGCCGCAAGGUUGAACUCAAGGAUUGACGG
rnacentral:rRNA from 1 species